CCUACGGGGGGCAGCAGUGGGGAAUAUUGGACAAUGGGCGAAAGCCUGAUCCAGCCAUGCCGCGUGUGUGAAGAAGGCCUUUGGGUUGUAAAGCACUUUCAGUGGGGAAGAAAGCCUUGGGGCUAAUACCCUCGAGGAAGGACAUCACCCACAGAAGAAGCACCGGCUAACUCCGUGCCAGCAGCCGCGGUAAUACGGAGGGUGCGAGCGUUAAUCGGAAUUACUGGGCGUAAAGCGCGCGUAGGCGGUCUGAUAAGCCGGUUGUGAAAGCCCCGGGCUCAACCUGGGAACGGCAUCCGGAACUGGCAGGCUAGAGUGCAGGAGAGGAAGGUAGAAUUCCCGGUGUAGCGGUGAAAUGCGUAGAGAUCGGGAGGAAUACCAGUGGCGAAGGCGGCCUUCUGGACUGACACUGACGCUGAGGUGCGAAAGCGUGGGUAGCAAACAGGAUUAGAUACCCCUGUAGUC
rnacentral:rRNA from 1 species